ACUACCGAUUGAAUGGUUUAGUGAGGCCUUCUGACUGGCGCCGAUGCUCUGGCAACAGAGCGCCGGAUGCCGGAAAGUUGGUCAAACUUGAUCAUUUAGAGGAAGUAAAAGUCGUAACAAGGUUUCCGUAGGUGAACCUGCGGAAGGAUCAUUACCGAUGUUAUCCAAACGCACGACUCCGUCGUGAUUACCGUGUGAACCAUACCAAACCAUUCAGGGGUCGGCCAGUCCGUUAAAUGGUGGUCGGACGCGUUCUUCUCGACGCGGCCGCUCCGCCAGCCCCGCCUGUGUUUUUUAUCAUACGUGUCUUGUCUGAACGUGGCCACACCCGUGGUCGAGAGAAAAAAAGAGAGACAACUUUUGACGGUGGAUCUCUUGGCUCACGCAUCGAUGAAGAACGCAGCCAGCUGCGAUAAGUAGUGUGAAUUGCAGAAUUCAGUGAAUCAUCGAAUCUUUGAACGCAAAUGGCGCUCUUGGGUUCUCCCAGGAGCAUGUCUGUCUGAGUGUCGGAUAUCAUCCAUCGCACGCGUUCGUGCGGCGUUGAGGCGUCACGGCCCUUCUUGCGGCCGUGUCCCUUGAAAGUCAGUGAGACUCGCCGCGGCAAGGGUUUGUUCCCUGCACACUCGCGGAGGCUAAAAAUGCUUUUGUCCUUCGCGUGCACGGGAGCAACCCGGUCGCCGAGUCACCGAGACGAACCAUUCUUAAAUCUUGACCUCAGAUCAGGCAAGGCUACCCGCUGAAUUUAAGCAUAUUAAUAAGCGGAGGAAAAGAAACUAACAAGGAUUCCCCCAGUAACGGCGAGUGAAGCGGGAUGAGCUCAAAUUUGAAAUCUCCGGUGCUUGCACCGGCGAGUUGUAGUUGCGAGAAGCACUUUCUCGGCGGACCGGCGGCGCCUAAGUUGCUUGGAACAGCAUGUCGCAGAGGGUGACAACCCCGUCUGUGGCGCAGCCGGCCGCUCACGAUGUGCUUUCGAA
rnacentral:rRNA from 1 species